UUUGUUGCAAUAUACGGUAUUGUCCUUUAUUUUUUGGGGUAUUGUUUUUUGGGCAAAGGUCUCCUUGGCUGAUAUGGCACUACUUGUAUCUUCCAUUGUGUAUUUGAAGCCCUUGGGUUCGUCAUUUAGACAUAUAAUAUUAUACCUGAUUAAGUAGACAUAUAAUAUUACACCUGAUUAAGUAGACAUAUAAUAUUACACCUGAUUAGGUUUACUUUUUUCUUAUUAUGUAUGUCAAUAUGAUAGCCAUAGAGACGAAAGUUCAUUUAUUUAUUUGUUUCACUGUCCCG
rnacentral:lncRNA from 1 species